rnacentral:rRNA from 1 species
UUGAUGAACGCUAGCUACAGGCUUAACACAUGCAAGUCGAGGGGCAGCAUGGUCUUAGCUUGCUAAGGCCGAUGGCGACCGGCGCACGGGUGAGUAACACGUAUCCAACCUGCCGUCUACUCUUGGACAGCCUUCUGAAAGGAAGAUUAAUACAAGAUGGCAUCAUGAGUCCACAUGUUCACAUGAUUAAAGGUAUUCCGGUAGACGAUGGGGAUGCGUUCCAUUAGAUAGUAGGCGGGGUAACGGCCCACCUAGUCUUCGAUGGAUAGGGGUUCUGAGAGGAAGGUCCCCCACAUUGGAACUGAGACACGGUCCAAACUCCUACGGGAGGCAGCAGUGAGGAAUAUUGGUCAAUGGGCGAGAGCCUGAACCAGCCAAGUAGCGUGAAGGAUGACUGCCCUAUGGGUUGUAAACUUCUUUUAUAAAGGAAUAAAGUCGGGUAUGCAUACCCGUUUGCAUGUACUUUAUGAAUAAGGAUCGGCUAACUCCGUGCCAGCAGCCGCGGUAAUACGGAGGAUCCGAGCGUUAUCCGGAUUUAUUGGGUUUAAAGGGAGCGUAGAUGGAUGUUUAAGUCAGUUGUGAAAGUUUGCGGCUCAACCGUAAAAUUGCAGUUGAUACUGGAUAUCUUGAGUGCAGUUGAGGCAGGCGGAAUUCGUGGUGUAGCGGUGAAAUGCUUAGAUAUCACGAAGAACUCCGAUUGCGAAGGCAGCCUGCUAAGCUGCAACUGACAUUGAGGCUCGAAAGUGUGGGUAUCAAACAGGAUUAGAUACCCUGGUAGUCCACACGGUAAACGAUGAAUACUCGCUGUUUGCGAUAUACAGCAAGCGGCCAAGCGAAAGCGUUAAGUAUUCCACCUGGGGAGUACGCCGGCAACGGUGAAACUCAAAGGAAUUGACGGGGGCCCGCACAAGCGGAGGAACAUGUGGUUUAAUUCGAUGAUACGCGAGGAACCUUACCCGGGCUUAAAUUGCAGAUGAAUUACGGUGAAAGCCGUAAGCCGCAAGGCAUCUGUGAAGGUGCUGCAUGGUUGUCGUCAGCUCGUGCCGUGAGGUGUCGGCUUAAGUGCCAUAACGAGCGCAACCCUUGUUGUCAGUUACUAACAGGUCAUGCUGAGGACUCUGACAAGACUGCCAUCGUAAGAUGUGAGGAAGGUGGGGAUGACGUCAAAUCAGCACGGCCCUUACGUCCGGGGCUACACACGUGUUACAAUGGGGGGUACAGAGGGCCGCUACCACGCGAGUGGAUGCCAAUCCCAAAAACCUCUCUCAGUUCGGACUGGAGUCUGCAACCCGACUCCACGAAGCUGGAUUCGCUAGUAAUCGCGCAUCAGCCACGGCGCGGUGAAUACGUUCCCGGGCCUUGUACACACCGCCCGUCAAGCCAUGGGAGCCGGGGGUACCUGAAGUGCGUAACCGCGAGGAGCGCCCUAGGGUAAAAC